rnacentral:tRNA from 1 species
UGUGGUUGUAGCUCAGUGGUAGAGCACUUGCCUCACAAGUGUAAGGCACUGAGAUACUGGGUUCAAUCCUCAGCACCACAA